UGCAAGUCGAACGCACGCGAAAGGUGCUUGCACCUUUCAAGUGAGUGGCGAACGGGUGAGUAACACGUGACAACCGCCUCAAGGCUGGGGAUAACAUUUGGAAACAGAUGCAAACCGAAUAAACUUAGUGUCGCAUGACACAAAGUUAAAAGGCGCUUCGGCGUCACCUAGAGAUGGAUCCGCGGGCAUUAGUUAGUUGGUGGGGUAAAGGCCUACCAAGACAAUGAUGCAUAGCCGAGUUGAGAGACUGAUCGGCCACAUUGGACUGAGACACGGCCCAAACUCCUACGGGAGGCUGCGUAGGGAAUCUUCCACAAUGGGCGAAAGCCUGAUGGAGCAACGCCGCGUGUGUGAUGAAGGCUUUCGGGUCGUAAAGCACUGUUGUAUGGAAGAACAGCUAGAAUAGGAAAUGAUUUUAGUUGAC
rnacentral:rRNA from 1 species